rnacentral:rRNA from 1 species
UAAUGUAUGGGGAUCUGCCCGAUAGAGGGGGGUAACUACUGGAAACGGUGGCUAAUACCGCAUAAUGUCUACGGACCAAAGCAGGGGCUCUUCGGACCUUGCACUAUCGGAUGAACCCAUAUGGGAUUAGCUAGUAGGUGGGGUAAAGGCUCACCUAGGCGGCGAUCUCUAGCUGGUCUGAGAGGAUGAUCAGCCACACUGGGACUGAGACACGGCCCAG